rnacentral:lncRNA from 10 species
GAGCUUGGCUGCUGAGUGUUUUCUGGGAGCUGCAUUGUCAGUUGAGGGCUGCCCGCUGCGUGGGGUGGAUUCCCCAGCCCUCACAGGAUAAUUUUAUCACAGAGGACAACAUUUGUAGUUCUGCAUGAGUGGCUCUCCUGGCGAGAUAAAGAAGAGACAGUGAGCUGAGGCUGAGGCUGAGAAGGCUGGCAUAUGUGAUGUCUUCGGGGAUCGGAAGCUGUGUGGAUGACAGGAUUAGGCAUGUACAGGACCAUGGAACAGCAAGCUGAGC